rnacentral:rRNA from 1 species
GAUGAACGCUGGCGGCGUGCCUAAUACAUGCAAGUCGAGCGAACAGAUGAGGAGCUUGCUCCUCUGACGUUAGCGGCGGACGGGUGAGUAACACGUGGAUAACCUACCUAUAAGACUGGGAUAACUUCGGGAACCCGGACUUAUUACCGGAUAAUAUAUUGAACCCCAGGGUUCACUAGUGAAAGACGUUUUUGUUGUCCCUUUAAGAUGGUUCCGCGCCGCUUUAGCUAGUUGGUAAGGUAACGGCUUACCAAGGCAACGAUGCUUAGCCGACCUGAGAGGGUGAUCGGCCACACUGGAACUGAGACACGGUCCAGACUCCUACGGGAGGCAGCAGUAGGGAAUCUUCCGCAAUGGGCGAAGGCUUGACGGAGCAACGCCGCGUGAGUGAUGAAGGUCUUCGGAUCGUAAAACUCUGUUAUUAGGGAAGAACAAAUGUGUAAGUAACUAUGCACGUCUUGACGGUACCUAAUCAGAAAGCCACGGCUAACUACGUG